CCUUUCUAUUAGGCUUUUUUUAUUUUUUAUUAUUUGCUACAGCUGUACAAGUGGUCUAAUUAGAUAUCACGUACCCUGAUAUAAGCAGGUUUGUAAGAUGCCGCUGGUGUGUUGAAGCCUUUCCGUGCGUCAUUGCCAGGGAUCGCCCCUUCCGUUUCGCUCCUCCCGCUUCCGCAUUUGCCCUGUUUGUUUGCAGCUCUUGGAUCAUUCGUGUUGAUUAUCAUUUGUGACUGUUCCUGUAUCUAACCUUCCUCGGCGUAAUCUCGUGCCGGCCGCCGCCCUUGCGUGCACGCGAUCAGUGAAGACAUUCUAAGCUCUGGGAUGGCUCGUGAAUAAUUACUAUUCGUGGCUGCUCCUGCAUGUUCUCCUGUGUAAACUUGUGCUGGCUGCUGCGAUUGGGUGUGUGCGCUAUCGCAGUGACGUUGAAGGUACGUGUGUGCGCUCUCGCAGUGCCGUUGAAGGUACGUGUAGUUUUAUUGCACUUGAACAUUUCUAAUGAGGCUGGAAAUAAUUUUAAUUAAUUCCCUGUAGGAGGAAUAUUUGGAUUUGGGACUAUGAUUAGCUGGCAACUAUUUAUGAUGAUGCUGCUGCUUUGUCUGUGAUUGUUCUACGAUGCAAUUCUAAAGCUUUUUGCAUCAACGUUGUGUGACGUUGGGGACAGAGUGGACGCUAAGGCGUCGGUUAAAGCCCGUCACAUAAAUGUAUAAUUGGGCCUUUUUUGGUUAAAUCUGUUUAUUCAUUUAUUUGUAUUUCUUAUGUUUUCUACCUGCUUUGGUUGUAAAUUGUCCUGUACCAUUAAUCUGAUCUUGAGGUGCAUUUCCCCAGUUGGCUGGACUUUUGAUCUUAAUGCAGGUAGCUUUUGUGGUUCUUUUGUUUAAUACUUAUUUAUUUUGAAUUAUUUUGUGGUAUUUAUGUAGUUUGGUAUUUGUUUAUUUGUAAGUAUUUGUCUUAUUUUGUUUAUUUGGUUGGUGUAUUGAAUUUCAUUUGUUUUCUUUAUGUACUUGCCCCAGUUACUUAUUUUGUAUGUGGUCUAGCAUUUGAUAAUAGCUGUGAGUUUGGAGGUACACUUCUUCAUUCUGCUAAGACCUCAUUUCUGUAGCUGGGUUAUUUUGUGGUUUAGCAGUUUUCUUUGCAAAAUCUUUUCUUUGUUUAUUUUAUUUAGGUUUCUCAUACUAAAUCUUUUUUUUGUUUGGUUUAUUAUUCCUUUG